GACGAACGCUGGCGGCGUGCUUAACACAUGCAAGUCGAACGGAAAGGCCCUGCUUUUGUGGGGUGCUCGAGUGGCGAACGGGUGAGUAACACGUGAGUAACCUGCCCUUGACUUUGGGAUAACUUCAGGAGACUGGGGCUAAUACCGGAUAGGAGCUCCUGCUGCAUGGUGGGGGUUGGAAAGUUUCGGCGGUUGGGGAUGGGCUCGCGGCUUAUCAGCUUGUUGGUGGGGUAGUGGCUUACCAAGGCUUUGACGGGUAGCCGGCCUGAGAGGGUGACCGGCCACAUUGGGACUGAGAUACGGCCCAGACUCCUACGGGAGGCAGCAGUGGGGAAUAUUGCACAAUGGGCGGAAGCCUGAUGCAGCAACGCCGCGUGCGGGAUGACGGCCUUCGGGUUGUAAACCGCUUUCGCCUGUGACGAAGCGUGAGUGACGGUAAUGGGUAAAGAAGCACCGGCUAACUACGUG
rnacentral:rRNA from 1 species